UUCAGGAUCAGUGAAGCUGGAGAUCUUGU
rnacentral:piRNA from 1 species